rnacentral:rRNA from 1 species
UUCGGGUUGUAAAACCCUUUCGUGCGGAAAGAAUAGUCCUGUAGCGAAUAACUACGGGAUUUGACGGUACCGCAGGAAGAAGCACCGGCAAACCCCGUGCCAGCAGCCGCGUUAAUACGGAGGGUGCAAGCGUUGUCCGGAGUUAUUGGGCGUAAAGGGGGCGUAGGUGGUUGUGACAGUCAGAUGUGAAAUCCUUCGGCUCAACCGAAGAACUGCAUCUGAAACUUCAUAGCUCGAGUACAGGAGAGGGAAACGGAAUUCCCGGUGUAGAGGUGAAAUUCGUAGAUAUCGGGAGGAACACCAGUGGCGAAGGCGAUUUCCUGGCCUGAUACUGACGCUGAGGCGCGAAAGCGUGGGGAGC